AGCUGAUGCACAUGGCGGCUUCCUCCCAGUUCCGCCGCAGCAGCUGUUCCCCUCUGGAGGUCCAUGACCUUCACACUUUAUGGGCCGCGGUUUUCCGUCGGCCCUUUUUC
rnacentral:sRNA from 23 species